GAAUAUUGGACAAUGGGCGAGAGCCUGAUCCAACCAUGCCGCGUGCAGGAAGACGGCCCUAUGGGUUGUAAACUGCUUUUAUACGGGAAGAAACACUCUGACGUGUCAGAGCUUGACGGUACCGUAAGAAUAAGGAUCGGCUAACUCCGUGCCAGCACCCGCGGUAAUACGGAGGAUCCAAGCGUUAUCCGGAAUCAUUGGGUUUAAAGGGUCCGUAGGCGGGACAACAAGUCAGCGGUGAAAGUCUGUGGCUCAACCAUAGAAUUGCCAUUGAUACUGUUGUUCUUGAGUGUUUAUGAAGUGGUUGGAAUAUGUAGUGUAGCGGUGAAAUGCAUAGAUAUUACAUAGAACACCGAUUGCGAAGGCAGAUCACUAAUAAAAUACUGACGCUGAUGGACGAAAGCGUAGGUAGCGAACAGG
rnacentral:rRNA from 1 species